rnacentral:rRNA from 1 species
CCAAUAGCGUAUAUUAAAGUUGUUGCAGUUAAAAAGCUCGUAGUUGAAUUUUGGAUUCUGCCAAUUGGUCCAUCUUUUAGAUGAGUACUGGUUGUGUGGGGUCUAUCCGCCUGGUGAUACGUAAUGUCCUUUAUUGGAUGUUGCGGGUAGUCAGGACCUUUACCUUGAAAAAAUUAGAGUGUUUAAAGCAGGCUUAUGCCGGAAUACAUUAGCAUGGAAUAAUAGAAUAGGACGAAGUUGUUUUAUUUUGUUGGUUUCUAGGACAACCGUAAUGAUUAAUAGGGAUAGUUGGGGGCAUUAGUAUUCAAUUGUCAGAGGUGAAAUUCUUGGAUUUAUUGAAGACUAACUACUGCGAAAGCAUUUGCCAAGGAUGUUUUCAUUAAUCAAGAACGAAAGUUAGGGGAUCGAAGACGAUCAGAUACCGUCGUAGUCUUAACCACAAACUAUGCCGACUAGGGAUCGGGCGAUGUUGUUUCCAUGACUCGCUCGGCACCUUAUG